UACGUAGGGCGCAAGCGUAUCCGGAAUUAUUGGGCGUAAAGAGCUCGUAGGCGGUUUGUCGCGUCUGCCGUGAAAGUCCGGGGCUCAACUCCGGAUCUGCGGUGGGUACGGGCAGACUAGAGUGAUGUAGGGGGAGACUGGAAUUCCUGGUGUAGCGGUGAAAUGCGCAGAUAUCAGGAGGAACACCGAUGGCGAAGGCAGAUCUCUGGGCCGUAACUGACGCUGAGGAGCGAAAGCAUGGGGAGCGAACAGG
rnacentral:rRNA from 1 species